rnacentral:rRNA from 1 species
GUGUGACUGCGUACCUUUUGUAUAAUGGGUCAGCGACUUAUAUUCUGUAGCAAGGUUAACCGAAUAGGGGAGCCGAAGGGAAACCGAGUCUUAACUGGGCGUUAAGUUGCAGGGUAUAGACCCGAAACCCGGUGAUCUAGCCAUGGGCAGGUUGAAGGUUGGGUAACACUAACUGGAGGACCGAACCGACUAAUGUUGAAAAAUUAGCGGAUGACUUGUGGCUGGGGGUGAAAGGCCAAUCAAACCGGGAGAUAGCUGGUUCUCCCCGAAAGCUAUUUAGGUAGCGCCUCGUGAAUUCAUCUCCGGGGGUAGAGCACUGUUUCGGCAAGGGGGUCAUCCCGACUUACCAACCCGAUGCAAACUGCGAAUACCGGAGAAUGUUAUCACGGGAGACACACGGCGGGUGCUAACGUCCGUCGUGAAGAGGGAAACAACCCAGACCGCCAGCUAAGGUCCCAAAGUCAUGGUUAAGUGGGAAACGAUGUGGGAAGGCCCAGACAGCCAGGAUGUUGGCUUAGAAGCAGCCAUCAUUUAAAGAAAGCGUAAUAGCUCACUGGUCGAGUCGGCCUGCGCGGAAGAUGUAACGGGGCUAAACCAUGCACCGAAGCUGCGGCAGCGACGCUGAUGCGUUGUUGGGUAGGGGAGCGUUCUGUAAGCCUGCGAAGGUGUGCUGUGAGGCAUGCUGGAGGUAUCAGAAGUGCGAAUGCUGACAUAAGUAACGAUAAAGCGGGUGAAAAGCCCGCUCGCCGGAAGACCAAGGGUUCCUGUCCAACGUUAAUCGGGGCAGGGUGAGUCGACCCCUAAGGCGAGGCCGAAAGGCGUAGUCGAUGGGAAACAGGUUAAUAUUCCUGUACUUGGUGUUACUGCGAAGGGGGGACGGAGAAGGCUAUGUUGGCCGGGCGACGGUUGUCCCGGUUUAAGCGUGUAGGCUGGUUUUCCAGGCAAAUCCGGAAAAUCAAGGCUGAGGCGUGAUGACGAGGCACUACGGUGCUGAAGCAACAAAUGCCCUGCUUCCAGGAAAAGCCUCUAAGCAUCAGGUAACAUCAAAUCGUACCCCAAACCGACACAGGUGGUCAGGUAGAGAAUACCAAGGCGCUUGAGAGAACUCGGGUGAAGGAACUAGGCAAAAUGGUGCCGUAACUUCGGGAGAAGGCACGCUGAUAUGUAGGUGAAGUCCCUCGCGGAUGGAGCUGAAAUCAGUCGAAGAUACCAGCUGGCUGCAACUGUUUAUUAAAAACACAGCACUGUGCAAACACGAAAGUGGACGUAUACGGUGUGACGCCUGCCCGGUGCCGGAAGGUUAAUUGAUGGGGUUAGCGCAAGCGAAGCUCUUGAUCGAAGCCCCGGUAAACGGCGGCCGUAACUAUAACGGUCCUAAGGUAGCGAAAUUCCUUGUCGGGUAAGUUCCGACCUGCACGAAUGGCGUAAUGAUGGCCAGGCUGUCUCCACCCGAGACUCAGUGAAAUUGAACUCGCUGUGAAGAUGCAGUGUACCCGCGGCAAGACGGAAAGACCCCGUGAACCUUUACUAUAGCUUGACACUGAACAUUGAGCCUUGAUGUGUAGGAUAGGUGGGAGGCUUUGAAGUGUGGACGCCAGUCUGCAUGGAGCCGACCUUGAAAUACCACCCUUUAAUGUUUGAUGUUCUAACGUUGACCCGUAAUCCGGGUUGCGGACAGUGUCUGGUGGGUAGUUUGACUGGGGCGGUCUCCUCCUAAAGAGUAACGGAGGAGCACGAAGGUUGGCUAAUCCUGGUCGGACAUCAGGAGGUUAGUGCAAUGGCAUAAGCCAGCUUGACUGCGAGCGUG